rnacentral:piRNA from 1 species
UUUGAAAUGGAGCAGAACCACAUGGAAGC